rnacentral:tRNA from 1 species
GACCCGGUAGCUCAGCUGGUAGAGCAUCUGCCUUUUAAGCAGAGGGUCAUGAGUUCAAGUCUCAUCCGGGUCA